ACCUGUCUGGCGCAUAAUGAACUUACCCCAUGGGAACGAUUAAAAUGUUGUGUAUACAAAUUAAAAAGGAUUAAGGGUUCUUGGUUAGAGAAGUUUGUUGAUAAGAUGAGAGCAAGUAAAUGUU